rnacentral:lncRNA from 1 species
AUAAUCAAGGACCUGGGAACUCCAACAAGGGAGCAAAUUAGAGAAGUGAACCCAAACUACACAGAAUUUAAAUUCCCUCAAAUUAAGACACAUCCUUGGACUAUAGUCUUCUGACCCUGAACUCCACUGGAAGCAAUUGCACUGUGUAGCCGUCUGCUGGAGUAUACAUCAACUCUCGACUGGCACCACUGGAAGUUUGUGCACAUUCGUUUUUUCAUGAAUUACAGGAUCCAAAUGUCAAACUACCAAAUGGGUGAGACACACCUCCACUGUUCAACUUCACCACUCAAGAACUGCCAACUAAUCUACCUCUGGCUACCAUCCUUAUGCCUCCUCAUGCUUGGAUUCAAGCAGCUGUUUCAAUCCCCACAAAUGCCACAGCAGCCACCGAUGCUAGUGCUGGAGACCGUGAACAGACCAAUAAUGCUGUUUCUGCAUCAUCUUCCAACUUUA